GGGAGGCAUGAGCAUCGGUCGAGUGAAGAGGUCUGAGCCCCCCGUGGCUGACCAGGUGGAGCUGAUGCGCCAGUGACGCUCGGCUGCCUCUCUGCAUGUCCAGGACUGGAAGUGGUGGUGACACCCGUGUCCUGGCCCCCUCCAGCGGCAUGAGGAGAUGAUCAUCCCUGGAGGACCCCCCUGAUCCCCUGGGUGCCCUGGCAAUUUCCCUGCAAGAAUCAAUAAACCCCUGCAGCAAAACAAAUGCUCUGUGUCUGUCUGG